rnacentral:rRNA from 1 species
CCUACUGGAGGCUGCAGUGGGGAAUAUUGCACAAUGGGGGAAACCCUGAUGCAGCGACGCCGCGUGAGUGAAGAAGUAUUUCGGUAUGUAAAGCUCUAUCAGCAGGGAAGAAAUAGCGACCUUUGGGUCGCCAGACGGUACCUGACUACGAAGCACCGGCUAACUACGUGCCAGCAGCCGCGGUAAUACGUAGGGGGCAAGCGUUAUCCGGAUUUAUUGGGGGUAAAGGGAGCGUAGACGGCAGCGCAAGUCUGAAGUGAAAUGCCGGGGCUUAACCCCGGCACUGCUUUGGAAACUGUGCAGCUAGAGUGCAGGAGAGGUAAGUGGAAUUCCUGGUGUAGCGGUGAAAUGCGUAGAUAUUAGGAGGAACACCAGUGGCGAAGGCGGCUUACUGGACUGUAACUGACGUUGAGGCUCGAAAGCGUGGGGAGCAAACAGGAUUAGAUACCCGGGUAGUC